rnacentral:lncRNA from 10 species
AAACGCGCGAACUUCUGUGGCUCGAUCCCAGUGCGCACUCCUCCCAGUGCACUGGCCGGUUGGAGUUUUGCCAGGGAGGCCUUCCCACCUGCCUGUCUCAAUGGAAAGAAUAUGUGGAUUUGGAUUCAGGGACACCUUUAUCACCUAUGUGACUUUAGGAGUCAAUGAAGCAAGUUCAUGAGACUCUGAGGCAAGGACACCAAACCAGGGGUUUUAGCUCCUACCCAUGGUACUGAGCCAGCAAGCGUUCCUGAAGCAUUCAGAAUUGUCUAAUUUCACCAAAUGAAUGAUCCCUGAGGGAUACCAUGGAUCCUGCUGGUCUAGGAUUGGCUCCAGCUUUUUCUGGAUCUGCAUUUGCUGUGCAACCCUGCUCGGGGGCUGAGAGAUGCUCUGGAGCUGUCUAGGCUGCUAAUAUAUCUGACCACACUGGCUCUGCAAGACCAUGGCUGAAGACUGCUUAAAUGUUGUCCCUGAGUCAAUAUCUUAACAUUUAUUGCAUCUUUUAUUUUCUUAACAAAAAUGAAGGCAUUUGUGACUGUGUUGUUUUCCAUCAAAAAUUGGGAAUCAUGCCCUUUCAUACAACACAGUUGUGGUCCAUCUUUUCUUCUGGGGUAGUAGAAAGAUCAAGAUCAUCAGAGAACGUAGGGUGCAAUAUCAGCUCUCCAGUACCAAACACGGUUCAUUAACCUCUCGGAACCUCAGGUGUCUUGGGGCAUAGUUCAUGUCUCCUGGCCCAUCUCACAGGAUUAUCAGGAGGACGAAUGAGAUAAUUCUCAGGCUAAAGAAAAUAUCACCUAAUGCUUCUGAUAUACAGAAUUGUGUGCUGCAAAUGGUUGAAAAGAUUUUAGUUUCAACACCUAAUUCCCAUCAUUCUGUGGCAAAAUAUAUCUUGAGUUCUGAUGGGCGCCAGAACAACAUCUGAAGAUUGAAUGAAACUUCUAAAGGUGAGUGAUAACAAGGCCCGUCCUGUACUUCACAGAAGACUUCUGAGGGUCAAAGAGAAGAUUUAUAGUUCUGGAGGUCAGAAGUCCAAGCUGAGUUUCACUGGCCCAAAUUCAAGAGUACCAGGCCAGAUUUCCAAAUGGGACAACAGGUGGAACUCUCAUUUUGCUCAUGUUCA